rnacentral:tRNA from 1 species
GCCUCGGUGGCUCCAAGGCGAGAGCGCCAACCUACGGAACCCCAGAUUGCGGGUUCGAAUCCCGACCGAGGUG